rnacentral:lncRNA from 1 species
AAAAAAGGGAUUUUGGCAGAAACACCUGUUGGGAUCACCAAAGACAAAAUUGUAAACCCUAAUCAGGAGAUAUAAAUAGGAAGAGAAGAAAUCAAAGCAGGGGAAUCAACAACGAAAAAUCGGAGGCGAAAAAAGAGAGAAAGAAAAAAACCCUAAUCCAAAAAAGAGGAAAGCAACAGAGAGAGGUGGAGGCGGAAAUCUGAAACAAGGAAAACCUAAAGUCCCAAGACUGAUUACCUGGAGGCCAGCGUUUGCAAGUCCUAUACCGCCACCAUUGCGACGCUUUGUAAGAAUUUCUCUUUCGUUCUCUCUAUUUUUUCUCAUACGCUUGUUGUCUGAAAAUAUUUGUGAGAGUUUUUGAGAGGUAGAUGCGAACGAUUUUGAGAGCAGGGGGGGUUCGUUUGAGUGCAUUUGAGAGACGAUUGGGUAAGUUUGAGGGAUAGUGAUUCUGAGAGCAGGGAGAGGUUUUCGUCUGAGAGAGUUUGUGAGGGGAGGAAGACGAAGGCGAUGGAGAAGGGCUUCUGUCGUUUCCUUUUUUUCUGUUUUUCUUUUUUUUUAAUUAAUUUCUUUUUUAUUUAUUUAACUUAAUUUGUUUUUUACAGAGAUAAUACAAAAACCAUGAAAAUGUUUGUUUUGUUUUUUUUAUUUUAUUUUAAAUUUUUAGCCCGGUUCAUAUACUUAGCGUAGUAUCUCAGUAGCAGUUGAUGUUGAGUGGCCUAGUGGAGAGAGGUUAGUUUCAUAAUAUUAAGUGGAGAGGGUUCAAUACUCAUGUGUGUUA